rnacentral:piRNA from 1 species
UGAGCGGGGUCAGUGCUGUCAG